rnacentral:tRNA from 1 species
CCUUAUACGAAUGAUUAUUGCGAUGAGUGUUCACACAGAUUGAUAGUGUUUAAUAAAGUGAAGAGAUUCGUACCUCUGCCCUUUAGUGCGGAGAUACACUGCUGUGUCCCGUUCGUCUAGAGGCCUAGGACACCGCCCUUUCACGGCGGUAACAGGGGUUCGACUCCCCUACGGGAUACCAUCUUUAAAGGUUUUACCUUUAGAAUCUUUAAAAAUGGUUUCUUUCUGAUACAGAAAGUGAAUCUUGCUCUUUAACAAUUUGGAAAGCUGACAAAACAACAAUUUAUUGUUGUUUGUAAAGUUCUCAAUGUAUUCCUGAAUGGAAUACACCAACAAACACAUUCAAGUGUGCUUGGUAUCGAAGCUUACUGAUUCAGUAAGUCUUCAAAUUGAGUCCGGCAAAAUCAGUCACACACUCAUGAAAAAUAAAUGUGUGACACCUAGGUUGUUUAACAACAACCCGAAACUCCUUCGGGUUGUAU